rnacentral:rRNA from 1 species
GUGGGGAAUAUUGGACAAUGGGGGGAACCCUGAUCCAGCCAUGCCGCGUGUGUGAAGAAGGCCUUUUGGUUGUAAAGCACUUUAAGCGAGGAGGAGGCGCCCUAGAUUAAUACUCUAGGAGCGUGGACGUUACUCGCAGAAUAAGCACCGGCUAACUCUGUGCCAGCAGCCGCGGUAAUACAGAGGGUGCGAGCGUUAAUCGGAUUUACUGGGCGUAAAGCGUACGUAGGCGGCUUUUUAAGUCGGAUGUGAAAUCCCUGAGCUUAACUUAGGAGUUGCAUUCGAUACUGGGAAGCUAGAGUAUGGGAGAGGAUGGUAGAAUUCCAGGUGUAGCGGUGAAAUGCGUAGAGAUCUGGAGGAAUACCGAUGGCGAAGGCAGCCAUCUGGCCUAAUACUGACGCUGAGGUACGAAAGCAUGGGGAGCAAACAGGAUUAGAAACCCCUGUAGUCC